rnacentral:lncRNA from 1 species
GGGGACUCUGGCCUCCCCUCAGGGAGCAAACAGAUCAAUAUCCCAGCAGGUGAGCCUCUCUCUGCCCUGACAGGAGAGGGUCUUGGGUUGGGAUGGGUCAUGGUGAUUUCCUGCUGGUCUUUGUGACUUGCUGCAUGUCCCAAUUGCAGGGUGAACCUGGACAGAAGGGAGAGAGAGGUGAAGCUGGCGAGAAAGGCAGGGAUGGCAGCCCGGGCCUCCCAGGAGAAAGAGGCCUUGCUGGGCCAGAAGGGAAACCGGGUAUGCCAGGCUUUCCCGGAGUUCUAGGCCGACCGGGCAACCAGGGAGAUCCAGGGUCACCAGGCUCAGCUGGGCUUGUUGGACCACCAGGUGCUCAGGGCCCACCCGGAAUAAAGGGAGAUUCAGGUGAGCCUGGCGCCAGCAUUCGGGGCUUGCCUGGGCCCCAGGGAAAUGUCGGCCUCCCAGGCCCCUCAGGCCCCCCCGGCCUUGUGGUAGGUAGUUGGUGUAAUUUUUCUCUCAUUUGGGUGCCAUCAGG